AAAGAGCCCCGCAUUCUGGGCUUACAGUCUGUCAGUCGCAAUUUCCGUUAAUAAGACCUUAUCAGUUAAAAACGCGGAAUCCCGAUCAAUGGGUGGCCGAACCCACAUCAUUUCGAAGUUUAUUGCAAAAUAUAAGGAACGUCCGGUGGAUAAAAAACGGAUGCAGAAGGCUAAAUAAUAAAAUUACUUAUGAUUUAUCGGCCGUAUAAUGUGACAGGGACCGCGCGUGAGACCUGAAAUACUCAGGGUUAACCAUUGGCGGCGGUACGAGUUGAUACGAAAGUUGCCACACAAAGAAGGAAUGGAUGAAGAAAAAAAACGGCUGAUUUGCCAAUUACGCGAUGAUGGCUGCACUCUGAAGCAAAUCGCGGAACGCGCGGGCGUCAGGCCAAGUACGCUGAGGAGAUUUGUUGCUAAAGAAAAAAUAUGUCGAAAACCGACGCUGCCCGAGAAGUUCGAAAUGGAUAUCCUUCAACUGGCACACGAAGGAAAGUACACUGCAGAACGAAUUGCGAUGCAGCUCAACAUUACCGUGACAACUGUGAGAAAAGCGCUACGAAUGGUCGGCGUUACAGAAGAGCAAAAAAAAUCCAUCAUCCAACUGUUCGAUCGCGGGUACUCCAUGGCGGAUAUUGUUCGCGAGAUUGACGUAGAAUCUAACGCCGCCUAUGCUGUUCUCCAGUCCGCCAAACGAAGUUUUACCGCGCUGGACAAGAUUGCUAUCAGCUGUGAGCUAGAAAAGGAAAUUGUGGACUGCGUUAAAGGGGGCCACAGUCGGCAGCACAUCCAGAAGAAGUUCGGCUUAACGGAAAAGACUGUUAGAUCUCUGUUGCGACAAAAUGGGAUAAUUCCUCAAGGCCGCACGCGGCAC